AGAUGGGGACCUAGGAAGGGAGGCAGCCCUAAAGCAUAGCCUGAGGCCAGAGACCCCCACCAAAAUCAUCAGUUUAUCAGUGGUGCCAGGAGAUUGUGGCAUCAAAGAGAAGGUUAGCCCAGGACUUUCGCAAGUAGGGCCAUCUUCCACAUCUAUACCCCAGGCUGGAGUUGAGCUGGGAGAUGAAGGAAGGGCAUUGUCAGAUUGUAAGGGCCCGGAAAAGCUGUCCUCUUCGGCACUGUCCACAGAGCAAGGGGGACCCAGGAUUCAAGAGAGGCCAAUGGCUCAAGCUGGGAUGACAGGUCAGUCAGUACCUGACACUCCAACAAUGUCUGAAACUCUUGAAGUGACCACAGCUGCCGCAGUGUCCAAAGUUGAAUGCACACCCACUGAGGGGCUGCCUGCAACUCCCAAAG
rnacentral:lncRNA from 1 species